UACGGAGGGGGCGAGCGUUAUUCGGAAUUAUUGGGCGUAAAGAGCGUGUAGGCGGCUCUGCAAGUCCUGCGUGAAAUCUCGAGGCUCAACCUCGAGCGGUCGUGGGAAACUGGAGGGCUAGAGUGCGGGAGAGGGAAGUGGAAUUCCAGGUGUAGCGGUGAAAUGCGCAGAUAUCUGGAAGAACACCCGUGGCGAAGGCGGCUUCCUGGAACGACACUGACGCUGAGACGCGAAAGCGUGGGGAGCAAACAGG
rnacentral:rRNA from 1 species